rnacentral:rRNA from 1 species
AAGGGUGCGUAGGCGGGUAGGUAAGUCAGUGGUGAAAUCCUGGAGCUCAACUCCAGAACUGCCAUUGAUACUAUCUAUCUUGAAUAUUGUGGAGGUAAGCGGAAUAUGUCAUGUAGCGGUGAAAUGCUUAGAUAUGACAUAGAACACCCAUUGCGAAGGCAGCUUACUACGCAUAUAUUGACGCUGAGGCACGAAAGCGUGGGGAUCAAACAGGAUUAGAUACCCUGGUAGUCCACGCCCUAAACUAUGGAUACUCGACAUAUGCGAUACACUGUAUGUGUCUGAGCGAAAGCAUUAAGUAUCCCACCUGGGAAGUACGUUCGCAAGAAUGAAACUCAAAGGAAUUGGCGGGGGUCCGCACAAGCGGUGGAGUAUGUGGUUUAAUUCGAUGAUACGCGAGGAACCUUACCUGGGCUAGAAUGCUGGGAGAUCGCUAGUGAAAGCUAGUUUUGUAGCAAUACACUGCCAGUAAGGUGCUGCAUGGCCGUCGUCAGCUCGUGCCGUGAGGUGUAGGGUUAAGUCCCGCAA